rnacentral:rRNA from 1 species
CCUUGGGUGGCAGCAGUGGGGAAUAUUGGGCAAUGGAGGCAACUCUGACCCAGCAACGCCGCGUGAAUGAUGAAGGUCUUCGGAUUGGAAAGUUCUUUUCUAAGGGAAGAAGAAAGUGACGGUACCUUAGUAAUAAGCCUCGGCUAACUACGUGCCAGCAGCCGCGGUAAUACGUAGGAGGCAAGGGUUAUCCGGAAUGACUGGGCGAAAAGGGUGCGUAGGGGGUUUGCAAAGGUAGUGGUAAAAUCCCGGGGCUAAACUCCGAACCGACUGUGAAACUGGUGGACUUGAGUGCCAGAGGGGUAGGCGGAAUGCGUGGUGUAGCGGUGAAAUGCAUAGAUAUCACGAAGAACUCCGAUUGCGAAGGCAGAAUACUGGAGCCCAACUGACGCUGAAGCACGAAAGCGUGGGGAGCGAACAGGAUUAGAUACCCCUGUAGUC